CCUGCCUUAGCAUAACGGUAGUGCAACCGGCCUAUACCCGGCAUAAGGCUCCAGAUUAGGGCACGAUCUCGGUUCGAAUCCGAGAGGCAGGACCA
rnacentral:tRNA from 1 species